rnacentral:lncRNA from 1 species
GGCCUCAGCCCUCUUCAUCACUAACAAUUCUGUUUUCACACUUAUCCAGCCAAGUUGCGAGAGAAACCCCUGAAGUAGUCUAAAACACAUAUUCAGUUAUCAAAAUUUUUGGUCCUCAAGUCACUUUGAUUUUACUAAAAGCAAUCAUUUGAAGGACAUCUUGUCAGCUGGAAUCCCAAACAAACAGACGAGCGUGAAACAGGAGAAAAAAGAACAGAAAAAUAAACGUGAAAGAGCUACAUAAUGUGAGAUACCAUCUACUCAAAAGUGUUUUAAUAAGCAGAUUUUGUUGAUUUAUACAUUUCUAUUGCGUGAAUAGAUUCAUUGGAUCUGUAAAACAACACCGGAUUUUAAGGGAUUUUAAACUACAUUUGCUUAAAGACACGGGGCAUUAUCCAAGGGCUGCCAUUCUGUAUGUUGAUACAGCUGUUGACCUACCAGAACCUACAUACUUGAUGAUAAUAACUCAAAAACUGUCUCUUUACCAGCCUUUAAUCAAGUAGGAAAGAUUUGUUGGAGCUCUCACUGCCUUCUAUAAAACCUGCUGUUUGGUACCCAUGGAAUACCAAAUUCUCACAACUGCUAGGCCACUCGCUAGUGCUGUAUAUCCAUACAAUUCUGUCCCAGACCCUGCCUUGUAUGCCUAGCAACAUGUGAAGAUUUCUAUUUCUAAAUCCAGUCAUUCCAGUUGUACUUAUUACUGUCAUUAUGCAGUCUCAUUAAAUAUUAUUAAAAGCAAUUAUUAUGGAUAUGAAGAACAAAAGAUCUACUUCCUCUACAAAAACCAAAUCAAAUGCAUUGAAAAGAGACAAUAAAGUCAGGUCACCUUAAAAAUAAAUACUGUCAUCUUAAGUUUGACCAAGACAACCAUAAAAGAUUGAGGAAGGAAAUCAGAUCAUUUAAAAAUGGGAAGAAUAGUGGUCUUAGAUUGCUUUGUAAGUUUCUGUAAGUUCCUCCUUCACCUAAGAAACUGAAGCUUCACAUGGCCAAUGAUGCUGUGUAGGUGUCACUUGUCUGUGAGAGCCAAUGAAGAACAUUAAUCAGAAGAACCAAACUCAAGAACAAGGUCAUUUCCUGCUUCACAAGGGCCAUCUUUACUUUGAAAGAUACAGAAAGACUGUGUAUAUCCUUGCUUGUGAUCUUCCCAAUCAGUAGCAUCUGUUUCUAGGUCAGAUGGCAUACAAGUUCCUCCUCUGCUAAGAGUUACUGCUUUUGUGCCUCCCCAAAAAGAUAUAAUAAAAAUAAGAUUGAAUAUGGUCUUUUAA